rnacentral:rRNA from 1 species
CUCAGGACGAACGCUGGCGGUAUGCUUAACACAUGCAAGUCGAACGAGACGAGAUGGAAGGAUCCUUCGGGUGACGGAAAUCUUAGAAAGUGGCGAACGGGUGAGUAACGCGUGGGUAACCUGCCCUAUGGAAAGGAAUAGCCUCGGGAAACUGGGAGUAAUGCCUUAUAAUACAUUGAAGUCGCAUGGCCUUGAUGUUAAACGCUCCGGUGCCAUAGGAUGGACCCGCGUCCCAUUAGCUAGUUGGUGAGAUAACAGCCCACCAAGGCGACGAGUGGGUAACCGGUCUGAGAGGGCGAACGGUCACACUGGAACUGAGACACGGUCCAGACCUCCGUACGGGAGGCAGCAGGUGGGGAAUUAUUGCGACCAAGUCGGGGGAAACCCUGACGCAGCAAUACCGCGUGAGUGAAGUAAGGUUUUCGGAUACGUAAAGCUCUGUUAGUUGGGGAAAGAAAAAAGACGGUACCCAGGAAGAAAGUCCCGGCUAACUACGUGCCAGCCGCCGC